rnacentral:rRNA from 1 species
GACGGACGCUGGCGGCGUGCUUAACACAUGCAAGUCGAACGGAAAGGCCCUGCUUUUGUGGGGUGCUCGAGUGGCGAACGGGUGAGUAACACGUGAGUAACCUGCCCUUGACUUUGGGAUAACUUCAGGAAACUGGGGCUAAUACCGGAUAGGAGCUCCUGCUGCAUGGUGGGGGUUGGAAAGUUUCGGCGGUUGGGGAUGGACUCGCGGCUUAUCAGCCUGUUGGUGGGGUAGUGGCUUACCAAGGCUUUGACGGGUAGCCGGCCUGAGAGGGUGACCGGCCACAUUGGGACUGAGAUACGGCCCAGACUCCUACGGGAGGCAGCAGUGGGGAAUAUUGCACAAUGGGCGGAAGCCUGAUGCAGCAACGCCGCGUGCGGGAUGACGGCCUUCGGGUUGUAAACCGCUUUCGCCUGUGACGAAGCGUGAGUGACGGUAAUGGGUAAAGAAGCACCGGCUAACUACGUG